UACGAGUAGUAGAACAUAGAAGGAGUGUGAGGAUGGAAGAAAAAUCUGAGGAAGCCUUAAUGGCAAAACAAAAAGGCAAGGUUCAAGCUACUUCAGAAGGGAAAAGAUCUGGUGGAGAAAGAAAAUUUAAAAGCAAGAAAGAUGAAAGCUACAAGGAGAAAAACAGAGAUGGGAAGUUCCCACCAUGUCCAAAUUACAAGAAAACAAACCAUUCAGAAAAAUUCUACUGGUUUUGACCUGGAAUACAAUAGAGAGCUUGUAAAAAGUUUGGCCAUGUUGAGAAAGUAUGCAAGAAUAAAGAUGAGCAGUAGACUCAAUUUACCGAAGAACAGGAAUAGCAGGAGGAAAAACUUUUUACAGCAACCUGUUACUCUUUUGACACAAGUGGAGAUGCUUGGUUGAUAGAUAGUGGCUGCACACACCACAUGACUUCAGACACCGAUAUUUUCAAGGAACUUGACAAGACCUACUCUUCUAAAGCGAAGAUUGGAAGUGGGGAAUAUGUUGAAGCUAAAGGCAAAAGGAGUGGUUGCAGUAUAAACAAAUUCAGGUACAAAAUUAAUUCAUGAUGUUCUAUAUGUGCCUAAAAUAAGUCAAAGUUUGUUGAGUGUAGCUCAGAUGUUAGAAAGAAAUUAUGCUUUGCAUUUUGAGAAUAUAUUUUGCACUAUAUUUGAUCAGUUUGGUUGUGAGUUAUUGACUGUCAAAAUGAAGAGCAAAAGCUUUCCUAUUGAGUGGAAGCAAACUGAAAUUCAUGCCUUUCCUAGUUUUG
rnacentral:misc_RNA from 1 species